UGAGCUUUUAAAUUAUUUGGUUAUUGGAUGUCUCUAGAUGCUGAUACAAACGAACGAACUGUAUUCAAAUACAUUAAAAUUAGUGUUGCUUUUAUGUGCAAUAAAAGAAUUAACUAUUAUUUGGAAAAGAAAAAAAAAUACAUUAACACUACAUGUAUGUGUAGGUAAACCGUAUCCCUACAGCUGAGAGUCUCCGACCGCUGUAGCGUAGGGGAGUCAUCUGCUAAAGUCGUUAAGUGAGCAUGUGUGAACCUACGAAAAAACCACUAGUACAUGGAGAAAAUCAAGAGCGUUGACUCUCGCAUAGUCAAUGUCCUGUAAAAUAUUAUGAAUCAUGGAUCUCCAACUCUGAUACACUAAAAUGAAUUGUGUCUUCGCGGCACCGUGCUUAGCGUUUAUAGAUCCGUAAGCUAAAGAAAAAAUAUAAUUUAUGGUAAUGAAAUAAAUUU
rnacentral:sRNA from 1 species